AUUUCCGCCGCCGCCGCCGCCGCAAACUGUGGGCCUCGUUCCCCGUUUUCAUUGACAAGCCGAAGUCCAGUCUUCCCUCAGCUUCUUUCUUUUUAGUUUGUUCAAGUCCCAAGACUGGCAGAAGCCAGGUAAAUCGUCGCACUUGAAACAGGUAACUCGGGAUCCUUUUCAUUGGUGCGCUCGCUUUGUCCAUUGAUGACCCACGCACCGACCAUGAGAGCGAACAUCUAGCCUUAGUCGACAUAGUCGACAGUACGCUGUUUGUUAAGAUCAAACUUGAUUUUUAAGGCAGUUAAGCAUUAGUUUAAGGAGCCACCAUCCGAGCAUCCUCUUUUUCUCGAAGACGUGUAGCAGCUUUCAAGAAACCUAUAUCGCCAAGAUAGAAGACCUGCCGAUCUUUCUAGCAACUUUGUUAGCUUGAUAUCUCAGUCGGAUCCGAUCUUAGCGACAACAUACAUCAUUUACAAGGUUCGACAUUAUUUUU
rnacentral:lncRNA from 1 species